rnacentral:lncRNA from 1 species
GGGUUUCUAGCAUCUUCCACCGACCUCUCGAUUCUCCACCGCCGUUGGUGUAUUCUCCACCACUAAUCCACUAUCUUCACCAUUUCAAUCGCCACCAUUCACAGACUUCAAACAGCCUCUGUAAUUACCAUCUAUUGCCAGUCGCCUAAGCAAAUGAUCUCGUUCUUCAAUCACCAUCUUCAUUUAACCCUAGAGAUCUUGUAGAAACCGAGAUGUAGACCAUUUGUUAAGACAUCUAAUGAAAACCCCAACUCUUCUUAAUCUAAUCUCUCCC